rnacentral:rRNA from 1 species
CCUACGGGAGGCAGCAGUGAGGAAUAUUGGUCAAUGGACGAAAGUCUGAACCAGCCAUGUAGCGUGAAGGAUGACUGCCCUAUGGGUUGUAAACUUCUUUUAUAUGGGAAUAAAAUGUUCCACGUGUGUGAUUUUGUAUGUACCAUAUGAAUAAGGAUCGGCUAACUCCGUGCCAGCAGCCGCGGUAAUACGGAGGAUCCGAGCGUUAUCCGGAUUUGUUGGGUUUAAAGGGUGCGUAGGUGGCUGGUUAAGUCAGAGGUGAAAGUCUGCGGCUCAACCUUAAAAUUGCAGUUGACACUGGUCGUCUUGAGUACAGUAGAGGUAGGCGGAAUGCGUGGUGUAGCGGUGAAAUGCUUAGAUAUCACGCAGAACUCCGAUUGCGAAGGCAGCUCACUAGACUGCAACUGACACUGAGGCACGAAAGCGUGGGGAGCAAACAGGAUUAGAUACCCCUGUAGUC